GCCUGGGUGGCUCAGUCAGUUGAGCAUCUGACUUUGGCUUAGGUCAUGAUCUUGCAAUUUCAUGGGUUCAAGCCCUGUGUCAGGCU
rnacentral:tRNA from 1 species